CCCCAGUGAAAGUUGCGACCCUGAGUUCUCUGCAAAGUUAAUAUGCACGAUGAUCACUUUCCGCAGAUUCUCUUUAAAUUCUCUCAGUUUGGAUUAUUGGUGUCGAAUGUUGUACACGUGUUUCCCCAACUUCUCUUUCAAUCAUUUGGAGAAGUCCUCCAGUAGAAUAUGCAGUGUGCCACACACAUUUUCUUUAACUGUCAAAUGUACAGUGAACUUCUCCAUGUUUCCCUCUGUUUUUCAUUUUCUCUCUCUUCAGCUUUGUUUUUCCACUCAAACCACCAUGUCUGCUCACCAGCAUCAAAGUCAGAUGUUAAGCUCUUUUGCUUGGCAAAGAGAGCACUCUGUGUACAUGCACUCUUUCUUCAGGUUCUCACAGCACAAAGACUCAACUAGGUUCUCAUUGUUGCUGCAGCUGAUCACUUUGUGAUACUGUAGUUUGUCCCCCAUGAACUGGAGGUUGGCGUGGGUUUUGCAGAAGCAUGUGUCCCUAUCCUGGACUGUUGGCUUGACAACCCAAAAAGGACAUCUUUUGCAGAAUUCAUAGCAGGACAUUUUAAUCUCUGAAUAUUCCCUCUUAAAAUUCUGAUAAAGGUUCUGAAUUGUGCCAUUCAAGAAGCGCUUCUGCUUUUUUUCUUGUGUGUCCUUUUUCCCCUGUUGCUGCUCUAAUGUUGACAUCACGUUCAUAUAAUCUAGUAAUUUUCUCUUCUGUGGCUGUAGUAAUUAUGUUACACUGCUUUUUCCUGGAGUAUUGCAUACUUGUUGGCCUGUUUUCAUUUGCCCUCAUUGCUUUUGCUGAAAAGCCAAAUUCUCUGUGUGCGGCGUUAUCCAGGCCAUACUUUCUCAGGAUGUUGCCUCUGAGCAUUUUUGAAGCCACUUGUUUGUCCUUGGCACUGCGUAUUUUUUGAUACUUUUGCUUUAACUCUGCAAGGAUGGCAUUUUGAAACAAUAAAAUCCUUCAAGUUCUUUGGAGUUCUCUUCAUUUUCUGUCUUGUAUUUGUCUUUGGGGAAUAUUGUC
rnacentral:lncRNA from 1 species